rnacentral:misc_RNA from 1 species
GUUGAUAUUAAAUUUUUGGGAUAAAAGUAAAUUUUUGAGGUAAAGGUUUAGCUGAGUUAAGUUGAAAUUAAAUUUUAGUAAUUUUGAUUUUUUAAAUGUGAAUGAAUAAGAAAAAAAUUGAUAAAAAAGAAUUGAAUUGAAUUAUUAGACUCUUCAAAUAUAUUUAAUCUCUAUUUGGAUAUUAGAAUUAAAAAUAUAACUUAAUGGAUGAAGG